UUAGUCAUUGGUGGUUGGUUCAUUCUACUGUAACUUGCCUGUUCAAGGCUCUUUGGCAUUGGCUUUCUUGAUGGAGCAAUAAAGGUGUUGUAGAAUUGCUCUUCAUCACAAUUCUCAGAGGAUAUGAUGUAUGUAUAUCUAAAAGGUAGGUGUAGGAAAUAUUUUUCAUGUAACAACCAACAGGAUGCCAUAUUUAUUAUUUAUUCACAAAGUUCAUUGUUGUUUCUAGUUUGUUGCCAUAUUUUUCAGUCAGGUUAUGGCAAGGAGGAAAUACCGCUGGCCCUGGGAGAUAUCACUAAACAAAUGACUGCAAUAGAAGAAAUGGUUGCAAGUGAGUACAAUUAGCCAGACCCUUAUCUUUGUGACAAGAUCUUGAAGAUGGUCAUUUGUGAAGCGUUCUAGUUUGCUAUUAGUUGCAAUUUUAGUUAUUGCUCUCUCAAUAUAUUCUUUUUCUUUCUUUCUUUCUUUUUUUCCAAAGGAUGAUCAAUGUAUAAUAAUUAAGCUUCAUAACUUCUUUGUAUUUGGAGCCAAGUUGUAUAUAAAUGUACACAUUAUUAAGAUUUCAUUUUGUAUAUGUACAAGUAAAAGAUUUCAUUUUUAA